UAUUCAGUGCCUUAUUUCAUAAUGCUCUGACAUAGAGUCCAGCGUUGUGCUCUGCUCCCGCUCAGCCACCCGCCCCGGACACGGCGCCACCAUGCCCAAGUGCCCCAAGUGCAACAAGGAGGUGUACUUUGCUGAGCGGGUGACCUCCCUCGGGAAGGACUGGCAUCACCCUUGCCUGAAAUGUGAGAAACGUGGAAAGACGCUGACCUCAAGGGGUCAUGCCGAGCAUGAAGGCAAGCCCUAUUGCACCCACCCCUGCUACGCAGCCAUGUUCAGCCCCAAAGGUUUCAGGCACGGUGGGGCAGAGAGCCACACUUUCAAGUAAACCCAGGUUUUGGAGACCCCAUCCCUGGCUGCUUGCUGGGCCGCUGCCCCUCUAGGGCGAUGGCAGGCCCUCCCCACAGGCAUCUGGGGCUCCCCUGUAGACCCUCAAGCCCUCAAGAAACCCGGCCACUUGGAAGACCUACAAAAAAAAAAAA